GACGAUCGGUUCUUGGAAUAAUGGGUUCUCUUGCCAACAUAACAAACCGUGUCACGUUAUUUGGAUCAUCUUGUAUUCCAUCAGCUAAGAUAUUUAAUCCGUAAAGCUCUGCAGCGCGUGCGCUGGCGAUAGCAGCAGUGUCGCGGAGGUUAUUUGCAGUAAUAAACUCCGCGGCACCAGCUGUAUCGUCAACGGCCUCACGCGCUACGUUGAGGCCGAGCUUUGUUAACGUGUUUUCGCAUUGAGCUAAUGCUUGUGGAUGCGAAAUCACGCGUGUUAAAUAUUCUUUUCGGACUCCUGGAAGUGCGAGGAGGCAGUGGUGGACGGGGAGCUGAACUUCUCCGACGAUAUGGAGGCGGUGACGGAGGAGGAGGUCGUAGUUUCGGUGGAUAGAUCCUCCAAGGGAGUUUUCAACCGGUAGGACUGCACGAUCAGCAAUCCAGAGUUCUACCGAUUGAAAAGCUACCUCGAAUUGAUCACACGGCAUGGCUUCGCUGUUCGGAUAAGCUUUUCCGGCAGCGGCUUCGGAGUAUGCACCGGGAACUCCUUGGUACGCGACACGGAGAGUUGAGCCGUGCAUCGGUGCCGGAGAUAGGUCGGUGAUGCUAAGUGGCUUUGGUUGAAGUGAUUUAUUGUUUCCGAUUGGGACGAGCUGAAGAUCAGUUACGGCGUUGUUGUGGCCGUUGACGGCGGAGACAUGGUCGUUUCCGGUGACCGGUGAUUCAUCUCGC
rnacentral:lncRNA from 1 species